GAAAUGUUAGAAAUCAAAAACUGCAACAGAAGUGAAGAAUGCCUUGCAAAAAAUAUUAACAGAAGUUCUUCAGGGAAAAGGAAAUGAUAUAGGUCAGAAACUCAGAUCUACAUAAAGGAAGGAAGAGUAUUGGAAGGAAUAAAUGAAGGUACCCAGGUGGUUGAAAAGGACACAGUAUCUUUGUAGAAGAAACUUCUAAAGCUGCUCCAGUUAACAAUAAAGAAGAAAUGAUGGAAUCAAAAUAUCACCACUCUGCAAGUCCUAACAAAUCAAUGGAUAUAGGACUGCUGAACAGCAAAGGGAGAUCAGACAUCCUGUGCCACCUUCUAUUAGGAGUAUUUUCCAGAAAAUUGAACCUAAGUCUGAUCAAACUUCUAGAUCUAACCACCAAUAUACAGAAGCUACAGCGGACAGAGGAAUACAUUAAAUGACACCACAGAGGUACAAUUAUUAAAAUUCAGGCUAGGAAAUGCUACUGGACAAACAACCCAUUUCCUUCAAUAAUUAUAAGAGAAAAGUGUGACAGAGGGGGAGUCUAUGAUUAAGAAAGGUCUAAAGACCUAUCACCACCAACUGCAAUUUAUGGCCUUAUUUUGAUCCUGAGUCUAACAAAUAAACUAAAUAAUCAUGAGACAAUUGGGGAAUUUUCAACAGUGACUAUACAUUUAAUUAUAUCAAGAAAUUGUUGUUAAUUUUUAAGAUAUGAUAUUGGUAUUUCCUUUGUAAAGAAAUAAAUACUGAAAUUCUUACAGAUAAAAAAAUAACAAUCCUUCCCCUAAAUAAAUACAACACAAUUCCAUUUAUUACUCAACAGUUUUCUUUUUGGGGGGUGGAGGGAGUUGGGUAAAAUUAUUUUAAAAGCCAUAUGGAACUAUAAAAUGCCAGAAUAACAAAGAAAAGUAUGAAGAAGAUAAAUAAUGAGAGACAUACCUUCAACUGAAAGCCACUGUAAUAAAAAUCACUGUAAUACAACCAACGUGGUAUUGGCACAAGAGUAGACAAAUCAGUGGAACAGAAGAGCGGAUCCAAAAAUAGAUCUCAGUAUACAUCAUAAUUUAAUAUGUGACAAAGGUAGUGUUUCAAUUCUGUGGGAAAGAAUGGUUUGUUUAAUAAAUAGUGCUGGC
rnacentral:lncRNA from 1 species